AGUAUACAAUAAUGCAAUAAUGACGUUGAUUUUGUAGUCUAAUAUUAUAAUAUUAGACUACAAAAUCAACGUCAUUAUUGUAUUAUUG